AAGAUAGCCGGCGUGUCAUAUGCCCACAUGGAGAUUCAUUUGAAGAAGCUACGUAUGUCGUGCGGGAACUUAAUAAAAUAGUGAAUAACUAUUGGAGGGGGCCGUGGAUUAGUUAUAGUAGCGCUCCAAGAGAAGUAAAAGAUUUGUGGUGGAACGAGUUCAAGGCACAUGAAUUGGGGACAGAACCGACGUAUGUAGCUACAUUCGAACGCACAUUUCAAAAGAAAGAUAAGACAUGGAUUGGCGACCGAGCCAAAUCUGUUAAGG